GUCGGCCGGAGAGGGCGAGGCGAUUGGCUGGGAGGCAUCGGCGGCGGCGAUGGCGAUGGCGCGACGCCGGCGAUGGUGUGGCAGCUACGGCAAGGAGACGAGAUAGAGAGAUCUAGGGGAAGGCAGGUUGGGCGCUGAUCGUCGUCGCGUCACCUCUUCUGCCUGCAGAUCUGUUUGAAUCUGGGGACGACGAUCCCUCUGCCGCGGGAUGGAUGAUGCCGGCAGUGAGAUGCCGUGCAGAUCUGCAGAUCUCGUCGACAAUGAUCGACAGAUCUGGACAUUUUGGAGCUCGAUUUUGCGUCGGACGAUCGGCAAAUGGUCUUGGCAGAGGCUCCGCACCAAGUUCUGAAUCCUCUCUCUCUCUUUGUUGCGCCGCCUCCUCCAACUUCGAAUCGUCGUAGCGCCACCUCCUCCGACGAUAGAGCUGCUCGAACUCUCUCUCCCUCUACGCUGCAACAGUCGCCGCCAGCUUCCUUCGAUUUCAGCUAACACCGCUGUGGCUUCAGCCUCCGCCCGCGGCGAGGUCACCGGCGGAGCUGUUGCUGCUCCGCACCAACCGCAGACAAAACUUGUAAAUAUUGAACUAUUUAAAACCACAUAUUGCUUCACAAUGUUUGAUUUUAAGGUUUAACCUUUUGAAUUAGAAACCAGC
rnacentral:lncRNA from 1 species